rnacentral:rRNA from 1 species
GAUGAACGCUCGCGGCAGGCUUAAUACAUGCAAGUCGUGGGGCAGCAGGACUGUAGCCCUACAGUUGCUGGCGACCGGCAAACGGGUGCGGAACACGUACGCAACUUACCCUGAACUGGGGGAUAGCCCGGGGAAACCCGGAUUAAUACCCCGUAAUAUAAUGGAGUGGCAUCACUUUAUUAUUAAAGCUCCGGCGGUUCGGGAUGGGCGUGCGGCUGAUUAGGUAGUUGGUUGAGGUAACGGCUCACCAAGCCUACGAUCAGUAACGGGUGUGAGAGCAGGACCAGUCACACGGGAACUGGGACACGGGCCCGACUCCUGCGGGAGGCAGCAGUAAGGAAUAUUGGGCAAGGGAGGCAACUCUGACCCAGCCAUGCCGGGUGGAGGAUGAAGGCCCUCUGGGUUGUAACCUUCUUUUAUAGGGGACGAAACCUGUGUAUUCUUACGCAGUUGACGGUACCCUAGGAAUAAGCACCGGCUAACUCCGUG